UGUCGAUGAAGAGCGCAGCAAACUGUGUGAAUUAAUGUGAACUGCGUACUGCUUUGAGCAUCGACAACUUGAACGCAUAUUGCGGCCAUGGGCUAGCCUGUGGCCACGCCUGUCCGAGGGUCG
rnacentral:rRNA from 2 species